rnacentral:rRNA from 1 species
UACGUAGGUGGCAAGCGUUGUCCGGAAUUACUGGGCGUAAAGGAUGCGUAGGCGGCCUCUUAAGUGGGAUGUGAAAUGCCGGGGCUUAACCCCGGAGGUGCAUUCCAUACUGGGAGGCUAGAGUGCAGGAGAGGAAAGCGGAAUUCCCAGUGUAGCGGUGAAAUGCGUAGAGAUUGGGAGGAACACCAGUGGCGAAGGCGGCUUUCUGGACUGUAACUGACGCUGAGGCAUGAAAGUGUGGGGAGCAAACAGGAUUAGAUACCCUGGUAGUCCACACCGUAAACGAUGGGCACUAGGUGUAGGGGGCGUAGCCCUCUGUGCCGCAGUUAACACAUUAAGUGCCCCGCCUGGGGAGUACGAUCGCAAGAUUAAAACUCAAAGGAAUUGACGGGGGCCCGCACAAGCAGCGGAGCAUGUGGUUUAAUUCGAAGCAACGCGAAGAACCUUACCAGGACUUGACAUCCACGGAAUCCUUAAGAGAUUAGGGAGUGCCCUUCGGGGAACCGUGAGACAGGUGGUGCAUGGUU